UCCAUGAAGUCGGAAUCGCUAGUAAUCGUGGAUCAGAAUGCCACGGUGAAUACGUUCCCGGGCCUUGUACACACCGCCCGUCACACCAUGGGAGUGGGUUGCAAAAGAAGUAGGUAGCUUAACCUUCGGGAGGGCGCUUACCACUUUGUGAUUCAUGACUGGGGUGAAGUCGUAACAAGGUAACCGUAGGGGAACCUGCGGUUGGAUCACCUCCUUA
rnacentral:rRNA from 3 species